GACGAACGCUGGCGGCGCGCUUAACACAUGCAAGUCGAACGGAAAGGCCUGCUUUCCCUUGUGGAUUGCGGGUACUCGAGUGGCGAACGGGUGAGUAGCACGUGAGUGAUCUGCCCCCAACUUGGGUAUAAGCCUGGGAAACUGGGUCUAAUUCCCGAUAGGACUGCAGGGUGGUGCCUGUGGUGGAAAACGAUUUUCUAGUGGUUGGGGAUGAGCUCGCGGCCUAUCAGCUUGUUGGUGGGGUAAUGGCCUACCAAGGCGGCGACGGGUAGCCGGCCUGAGAGGGUGGACGGCCACAUUGGGACUGAGAUACGGCCCAGACCCCUACGGGAGGCAGCAGUGGGGAAUAUUGCACAAUGGGCGGAAGCCUGAUGCAGCGACGCCGCGUGGGGGAUGACGGCCUUCGGGUUGUAAACUCCUUUCGACCGCGAGGAAGCCACCUGGUUGGAAGGGUGGUGACGGUAGUGGUAGAAGAAGCACCGGCUAACUACGUG
rnacentral:rRNA from 1 species